AUACGUAGGUGACAAGCGUUAUCCGGAUUUACUGGGCGUAAAGGGCGUGUAGGCGGUCUUGCAAGUCAGAAGUGAAAUUCCUGAGCUCAACUCGGGCGCUGCUUCUGAAACUGCAGGACUUGAGUGCUGGAGGGGAUAGCGGAAUUCCUAGUGGAGCGGUAAAAUGCGCAGAUAUUAGGAAGAACACCGGUGGCGAAGGCGGUUAUCUGGUAAGUAUGGCACGCUGAGGCGCUAAAGCGUGGGGAGGAAACACGAUUAGAUACCCUGUUAGUCCACGCCGUAAACGAUGAAUACUAGGUGGUGGGGGGCAAAGCCCUUCGGUGCCGACGCAAACGCAAUAAGCAUUCCUCCUGGGGAGUACGUUCGCAAGAAUGGAACUCAAAGGAAUUGACGGG
rnacentral:rRNA from 1 species